UGUUUAGACUAAAUAGCUAAUGUCAUUAUAUAACUAAUCUAGACAAAUGAUGAUUCUUCAAAUGGUUUUUGCAACUUUUCAACAUUUUGAACUCUUUCACCAACUAAAUUAUUCAACAUUAUAACCUGAAAUUAUAAAAUAAUUGUGUCAAAAGAAAAGUAUAAUGUGAAAAGCAUCUUGAACAUUCCAUUCAAUCAAGAAGCAAAACUGAAAAUAAGAAUUAAAUAAAUGAUUUGCGAAGGGCAACUAAACGACAACAAUAUAUAUAUAUAUAUAUAUAUAUAUAUCUGAAAUUCUAAAAUAAUUGUGUCAAAAGAAAAGUAUAAUGUGAAAAUCAUAUUGAACAUUCCAUUCAAUCAAGAAGCAAAACUGAAAAUGAGAAUUAAAUAAAUGAUUUGUGAAGGGCAACUAAACGACAACAGCAUAUGUAGAUAACAACAUAUGUAGAUUGCCCCAACCACAAUAAGGAAGAGGAAAGCCUCAUAUCAAAACAACAAAAGCAACAUCUAAAUGACAGCAUCAUCUAAAGAUGACAACUUGCCAUAUGCAAUACUUGAGAAAACUUACUAGAUUGGUUAAACAUACCAUCCAUUUUUACCCAAACUCAAGAACAAAAAAAAAUCAGACAAAACAACACCACAAAGGAAAUUAGAUAGUCUCUUUGUAGCUACUGUUAUAAAGCAGAAACUGAUCAGUUUCUUGCUACAAAACAUGGUAGUCAUGAGAAAGUGAAAGAACAAUCAAUAAGGAUCCACGUAAAUAUCAUUGUCAUUUUCCCUAUUAAAAAAAAGAAUAUAGUACCCUCACAUGAAAAGCAGAAGUCUUUUUGCAAGUGAGUUUAACUUUGCUCUGAAUCUUGGCAGAUUUUAGGACCUCAAAGUUAUUGACAUACAAAAAGCAUUCCCCACUCAUGUUACUCAUCUUAUAGUGUAGUAUAAUAUAUAUAAGCUAUCAUCAUUUCACUUAUUUAACACUAGAAAGGGAUGUCCGCGCACGGCAUGGGCCAAAUAUUAGCACCCAUAUCUCAUUGGCAUUAUCUUAUAUACUUGCUCACAUUUUACAUCACCUUUUAAAGAAUUUGUGUAUGAUCCGAAUUUCACUCGUUAGAAUGAACCCCAAACAUAUAAGAUGCUCUGAACCUAAUAAAAACAACAUGGUAGUAUAGCCCAACCAGAGUGUUCGGCAUUUCCAAGAUCACCUAGAAUUCAAGCUGAUGCAAGGACAUAAUCAUGUCUUGAUAUCAUCAAAAAGUCUGUGCAAUCUCAUUCGCAAAAUGCCUAAGAAGUCAUUUAAUGCACCAAUUAGGUAUUUAAGUAUUUUUUUUCCCCAGAUGCAAUUGUGAGUUGCUCCACGGACUUAUAAGAACUCACUGAUGGUUCUGUGGCCUGCCUGCAUCUUCAAGCGAUUAAGGUUAGACUGGAGCUCUGAAUUUUUGUUGGUUGCACCUGCAUUCUUCACAACAUGAUAUAAAAAAGCAUGUUAUGCGAUGAAACACACUCUUUGAGAACUUGGGUACCAUUAAAUACCAAGUGACAUACUUUAUUUGUGUGCAGUAGCUUUCUCUCCCAUCUUUUAUAGAGUAGGACACGUCAUUACAUAACUCAUGAAACACCUGAAAACUUAGUGAAUGGACAAAGACUCGUGUAGUUGAAAAUUGAUAUCCUCUUCUAUCUAUUUUUUUUUUCAUUCAGAAGCACCAUGAUGCAUGUUGAGCUUGGGUUCCAAGUAGAACAUUAUAGAUAUCCUUUAUUUCGACUAAUCAAGUUUACCGGUACCUUAUUAUCCACAAAAAGAAAAAACAAGUUCAGCCAGGUUUUAAACUCUAUUUUUAAGUUCUUUUGACUUAACUUUUUAGUUUUGCACAUAAUCAGCUAAACUUCCCCAACAAAGUCUUUUACUGGCAUGGGGAAAGCAAUAAUAUCGACAAAGAAACUUCAAAUAAAUUUGUCAUAUUCUGUUGGGCUUCUUAUUUCUCUUACAUUAAGGGGCUAUUCUUUGUUACUGAAAUAUGUGACAGCAUCAUGGUUCUUUAAUCUAGAAUCAUCACUUGAGAAUCAGCAUCAUUAUUCAUGUCUUGUACUUGAUUAAACAUUCAAGUUAAGUGCGAAAGGUACGGUGCUCCACUGAUUCCUACCGAGCUCCCCAAACUGCAUAAGUCUCAUUUUAGCCAUGCCCAAUUCUUUCAAUCAAGUCAGUUUGGAAUAUGUAACAACAGCUAAGGCACGAUUUUAAACCACUAUACAUUAUCAUUUUCAUAUUGAAAAAAUUAUAAAAACAAAAAAAUAAAGGAAAAUAAAAAAGAUACAAUAUAAAACACACCUCAAAUCCUAACUUUUCUAACUUACUCCUGGAAGAUAUUAAAAAAAAACCAAUAUUGAGCAAUCUGCUUCAAGCACUAACAUCACUUGUUUAUCUCAACAUCGGAGAAAAAGAUUUCAAUCAAUAGCAUAUAUGAAAUAGGAAUACAUUAGUAGACCAACCUGGUUGAUUAUGGUAUAAACCUUCCUUCAAGUCAUCAACAUAGCAGUAAUGCGAAGCAUAUUACAAAUUGUCUCCUUCUCCUCUAGAACACUUGUUUCAUGCCUAUUCUUUUAUCCCCGUAGAGUUACGAUCUUCAUGCUGCGAGGAAUUAAAACUUAAACAAAAUAAUUAAAAAUCUGCACUUUUUUUAACCAGUAUAUGAUUUCUAUAUGUGAAUUCAGAAAAACUAAAAUAGAUCAGGUCAUAAAGAUUGAAAAAUAUGUCCUCAAGAUCAUUUCAUACAAAAAAUAAUGAUUGUAAUAGAAGGUUAUAGUCCUAGAAAUAUAAAUUGUAGUUGCAACUAAAUUAAUCUGAGAACAUCGAGUGUUGAUGCAAAGGGAGUCAAAACCUCGCCUAUCACAUCUUAAUUUCAUUUGUUUUAUUACUUCUCGACAAAAUGAUACAAGUAACUUUUGAAAGAACUAUACAAAUAUGAAAAUGUAGAUAUACCAUACUUUUAGCGGCAUUGAAAAGUAAUAAAUAAUUUUCCACGAUAAAGCAGUAAGCCCACUCUCUUCUUGAUUGGUACAAACUCUUGUUUACUGGCAUACUUUAUCUAUGAAGUAAAAUUUUGUUCAGUAAUCAACUCGUCCUUCAGUAUAAUAAUACUCUAGUCACAUUAAAAUUUACAUUUGCAUAACCAUCAAAUUGCUUUAAGAAAUUAUAUAGCAGAUAUGAUUCUACCUUAUAACAUUUCACUUUUAAUUUCAUGGAUUUUCUUUGGAUGUCAUCAAUGUCUAGUCUCAUUUUUAAAACUUCAUAUCAGUAAAAAAGACAAAGAAAAGAUCUCUUUCCAAUAUGAGUAAGUAUAUGACCUAAACAUAAGCUAAAUACUUGCAGCUCAUAAUAUAACUUUUGGAUAUCAAUAAUUUUAUAACCUGCUUACUUUUUACAACCAACAGAAGUUAAAUACAUGCAGCUCAUAAUAUAACUUUUGGAUUUCAAUAAUUUUAUAACCUGCUUACUUUUUACAACACAUGAAUAAAUUAUAUAUGACCUCAAGAGAUCUCUUCAUAUAUAAUUUUAGACUGGCUCUAUGCGAUUCCACCUGUACCAAAUUGCAAGAAGAGCGCAUUGAGCAAUCAUCUAAUUUCCCUUUCAAUCAAAAAUUUCUAUUCAGAUUCCAGUCAGUCAAUGAUGAUUAGAAUGAGUAAUUAUUGCUUUCUAUGUUCAUGUCCGAAGCCAUGUCUCACGUUCAAAGUCAUAUAGUACUUUUCUGCACUUAGGUAACCAUCAGAGUGUAGAUUCUGCUUUCUAUAGUAAAUAGUUGUAAGUAAAUUACUUACAUUUGCGACUUUGUUAUUGUUGCAGUGGCAAAGGCACAUAAAAUUUUUCAUUUCACUUAUCAAAAUCAGCAGUGGAUUUCAUGUGUCAGCAAAAGAAAAAUCACAUAACUAAAAUUUGAAACACAGAAUUCUUUCUAGCCAUCAGCAAACAACUAUAAAUUAAAAAGGAGAUAAAGUAACUCCUACUUAGUAAACACAAGAAUGCCACCUUCCCAAUCAUAUACAACAAGGUCAUUGAAAUACUAAUAUUUUAUAUGCAGAAGAAAAGUUCUUAACAGUCAAACAAAGAUGAAAUGUCAAAUCCAAAUAGAUGUAAAUAUUUACAUAAUAUCAACUGAAUAUAUAAGGCAAAACUUGUUAGAAAUAACUUUUAAAAAAAAGUAACACAUUACUUUACCUGUGCAUCCAAAAUAUUAAGGUGGCCAAAAACCUUCAUAACCAUCUUUUCCCUAGUUGUUAAUGAUCGAUCACCACCAUUACAAAAUGUUUUAAACCCUCAUUCUUGUCAAAAAGCACACAACAACAUAGCGAAUUAUUAUCCCGACUAUUAAGACUAAACUUUCAGGAUAUAAUAGGUACCAUCAUAAGUUGAAACAAAGAAUAUGAGUCAGGCAUAUUCAUUAAACACAAUAGGUGCAUAGCCGUAUUCAACAUUUUUUUUUCUUGUCACAUAAAAGUAAAGGUUGACACUUUUAUGUAAUUGAUUUCUAAUAAAUUGUCCUAUUUUUGUCAGACAUUGUUGUCGUUUCUUACUUUUCUUACUGUCUGAUUGUCCUCUGUUAUAUAAAUAGUUAAAAAUUAUUAAUGCGUCUAUUCCGUGAAUUCUGCCCUAUCGACUCUAAUAUUCAAGUUUGUUUUGAAACUUCAAAGUACUAUCUCCCAUUUCGGAAAGUUUCAAUUUUUUUUGUUCAGUAAAUUAGUGAGAAUAUGUCACGAAAAAAGACAAAUUUCAUCAGAACAGAAGGCAUAAUGCAAGUGCAAAUUGAGGUACUAUUAUUGGCAUACACGUUAAAUUCUAAAAAGAAACUAUUCAAAAGAAGAGGAAAGAUUCAUACUCACCAAAUUGUGAUUUUAUUCAUACUUAAGAAAUGAUCCGGGCGCAGCUAUUUACCAACACUCAGUAGCAACUGUUUUCAUAAAAGAUUCAUUUACCAAAUUAGACAAAAAAUUCAGGUUUUAUUUCACAAAAAACCCUAUUGGUUAAGAAAAGAAGAAAGUAAUAAUAAUUGGGAAAGCAAGAAAUACCGUAGGAUGAAGAAGAACAAACCUAGAAGAAUUCACUCCGUAAGAGAGAUUAAGCAGCACCUUCUGAAAAAAGAGAGAAACUGAGAGCUUCUGAAAAAAGAUCCGAGAUCCAAAGAGAAAGAUGGAUUCGUAUGGAUAAAUAUGAGUCACAAAGGCAAGACACGUGUUAUACAUAGUAGAAGUGUUUGCAUCAAAAUGAAAGUAGUAGAAUUUACCUGGGGAAAAGGUGGGGCUGCCAUUGACGCACUCGCGCUGCCGUUAACGCACGGUUUUUUUAUUGUUUCCUAAUUAGGGAUGGAAACAUACGGUUUUCAGUUCUAUUGUUUUC
rnacentral:lncRNA from 1 species